rnacentral:rRNA from 1 species
UGGGGAAUAUUGCGCAAUGGAGGAAAGUCUGACGCAGCAACGCCGCGUGGGUGAUGAAGGCCUUAGGGUGGUAAAGCCCUGUUGGGAGGGAAGAAAUUUGACGGUACCUCCAAAGAAAGCCCCGGCUAACUCCGUGCCAGCAGCCGCGGUAAUACGGAGGGGGCAAACGUUGUUUGGAAUCAUUGGGCGUAAAGCGCGCGUAGGCGGCUAUGUAGGUCGGGUGUGAAAGCCCAGGGCUCAACCCUGGAACUGCGCUCGAAACCACAUAGCUUGAGUCCCGGAGGGAGAAGUGGAAUUCCAGGUGUAGGGGUGAAAUCCGUAGAUAUCUGGAGGAACACCAGCGGGGAAGGCGUCUUCUUGGCCGAGGACUGACGCUGAGGUGCGAAAGUGUGGGGAGCAAACAGGAUUAGAUACCCUGGUAGUCCACACCGUAAACGAUGUUCACUAGGUGAUGGGGCAUUGACCGCGUCAGUGCGCUAGCUAAC